CCACGAAGCUGAGUGGAGGGAGGCAGCAGAAAAGUAUCUUCUAGGGGAAAGACGAUUAACAGAGCUUCAAAGAGCGACGGAUUGCUUUCCUUGCUGCCCGAAGCCCCUUCCUUCUCCACCCACAUCCUGACGAGCUGCCAGUUGGUGUACACAUGCUGAUGGAAAAGCAGGACAAGUUUGGGACCGCACCCCUCGCCGGGGCAUCGAAACGUCUCGGCUGCUGCUUCCUCGAGCCAAGUCGUGGCAGCGCAGAGCGCCGGGUGUGCGACCAGCGUUGUUCAGCGCCCGGCCCCCAGGAUGGGUCCUGCCGGGGGCCUGUGCUCCUCGUAGACAGGGGGAGAAGGCAGAUCUCCCGGUUCUCAGCACGGUGCCUUAACCCCUUGGCCUCUUCUUCUUCCUCCAGUGCCCCUGCCCGAUUCCAGAGCUGGUUCUGCAAGCCCCGAGAUCCGUAAUGGGAGUUUUGUGCCCGCUGCUUCGCAGCAGCUUCUUGCACAGCCUCAGAAAUCCCUUUUGGCCCCAUCGCCGUGCAAAUACGCCCAGGCAGUGCUGAAGACAGGGCUCGUUUAUAGCAUACGACAUUCAAUUCACGCUAGAGCUGGGGAGGUCUGGUUUUAAAGACUUUUUUCGUUCGCACUGAUAGCACGGGACCGCUCGUGGCCGGACUUUGCUUUGGAGAAGCCGGCGCUGCCCGCGCAGCGCAGGCACCACCGUGGGGAUGCAGGGAGGCGAGGGGAGCAUCGGCCCCGGCGCCUUCCCACAGCCUCCAUCCCUGCUCGGUCUCUGCAGCGGGGCUCAGCCCUGCUCUGAAAUGGGCUCGAGCCAACGAGACGGAGGAGAACAAGAUUUUUACAGCCCAUUAGUGCUCCCCAGAGCCAUCCAGCCCCUCUUGCGCUAAAAGCGGUGAAAGCCACAGGAACAUUGAGGCCGGUCUGCCGAAGAUGCCAGCCUGCCCCCCCCCCCCCGAGUUUCGUGUCCCUUCAUCGGGGCUCUGCCGGAGCCAGUGACCCCCCCCCGACAGCCCCGGGGUGCUGGAAGUCCCCCUGGGAGUGCCACGAUGAGCUGGCGAGCACCGUCCCGUCCCCGGUCCCCGAGCUCCCUGUCAAGAUGUGCAUGGGAGGGUUCCGAGUGCAAAUGUGUGUUUGCUAAUGGGAAAUGAAUUGCCUCUUGCCCCGAAGGCUUGCAGCUUGAGGAAAACAACGCAGGGUCUAAGAAUGACCUCAUAUUGCCUCCCAGGGAAUGUUUUGCCAGAUGAAGGGGGGAGAGGCAGCAUCAAGACAGCACAAUGUAUGUAUCUCUCUCCCUGUGUAAACAUCCCUGUAGCUGCAGAAACCUCUUAAAACCCAGAAUGAGAGGAGAACAGCUGCUUUGAUCUGUGGAUGUGGUUGUUAUUUUCUAAGUGCGGAUCCUUUCUUUUUUUAAUUUUGCCUCAAAUUAAAAAAAUGCCUGUUGUGAUCUUUUGCUUUUAUUUCUUGGCUGGAGACGUGAGCAGGGUGCAGUAAAUUUUCAUUACUCCCCAUGUAACCGUUUCAGCAUGGUCGACAAUUCCUCGCCGGCUCUUGAGCGCCGCAGCACAAUGGGCCGAAUCUCCUGGCCCUACAUGAAGCCGGAGCAAAUGGGUUUUGCCCAGAAGUGCUCCACGGGGAGUGGAGGCAGCGGGGAGGAGAGUGCUGCCACCUCCUCCCCUUCCCGACACACACACACACACACGUGUGCACACGCACGGGCACACAGUGGCUGGGCUCCCCGUCCCCGUUGCCUUUGAAGGGUUUCGGAGAGGGGCUCCCGUGGCCGGAUCCUUGCCGGCCACAGGAGCUGGUGAGGAGCCACCGGGGCCGAAGCACCGGGCUGUCUUUCGGGCGAUUUAAGUGUGAUUCAUGGCCCUCCCUCCAGCCUCCCUGUGUGAUCCGGGGAAGCUCCGUCCGCCUGAUUUUCCCCAUCUGCGCCGGGAAGGGGACGGCCCCUCCGUGCCGAGGGGCACCGUGGCGUGCGCGGACCCGUGGCGGUGCAGGAUCCGUGCUGGGACCUCCACCUUCUGCUCUUCCAGCCCCGGGAACCGGGUGGCACAGUUUGGGGAAGAAAGCCA